GGGAGCGCGGUGACGCGGGAGAGUCACACCUGCCUGUAAAGCAGUGGCUUCGGCUGAGGGGGUUCGACUCCCUCCGCUCCCA
rnacentral:tRNA from 1 species